ensembl:snoRNA
AAGCAUAUCUAUUUGACAGACCUGGAGCAGUUACUGUCUGCUGCUAAGGUUUCCACUACAGAUGCAAGAAAAAAGUGUCCUCAUACUUUCUGUCUGUCUCACUGUGGCAGCCAACAUUGAACAGAGGAUAAUAGAG